rnacentral:tRNA from 1 species
GGCUUUAUAGUUGAACAACAACAUUAAAUUGCAGAUUUAAAAGUGUAUACCAUACUAAAGCUU